UACGAAGGGUGCAAGCGUUACUCGGAAUUACUGGGCGUAAAGCGUGCGUAGGUGGUUUGUUAAGUCUGUUGUGAAAGCCCCGGGCUCAACCUGGGAAUGGCAAUGGAUACUGGCAAGCUAGAGUGCGGUAGAGGGUAGUGGAAUUCCCGGUGUAGCGGUGAAAUGCGCAGAUAUCAGGAAGAACACCCGUGGCGAAGGCGGCUCUCUGGGACGGUACUGACGCUGAGACGCGAAAGCGUGGGGGAGCGAACAGG
rnacentral:rRNA from 1 species